rnacentral:rRNA from 1 species
AUUGAACGCUGGCGGCAUGCCUUACACAUGCAAGUCGAACGGCAGCACGGUUGCUUGCACCUGGUGGCGAGUGGCGAACGGGUGAGUAAUACAUCGGAACAUGUCCUGUAGUGGGGGAUAGCCCGGCGAAAGCCGGAUUAAUACCGCAUACGAUCUACGGAUGAAAUCGGGGGACCUUCGGGCCUCGCGCUAUAGGGUUGGCCGAUGGCUGGUUAGCUAGUUUGUGGGGUAAAGUCCUACCAAGGCGACGAUCAGUAGCUGGUCUGAGAGGACGACCAGCCACACUGGGACUGAGACACGGCCCAGACUACUAAGGGAGGCAGCAGUGGGGAAUUUUGGACAAUGGGCGAAAGCAUGAUCCAGCAAUGCCGAGUGUGUGAAGAAGGCCUUCGGGUUGUAAAGCACUUUUGUCCGGAGAGAAAUCCUUGGCCCUAAUACGGUCGGGGGAUGACGGUACCGGAAGAAUAAGCACCGGCUAACUACGUG